rnacentral:rRNA from 1 species
UAGCGUAGGGACCGAGCGUUGUCCGGAUUCGAUUGGCGUAAAGAGCUCGUAGGCGGCCACUCAAGUCGAAUGUGAAACCUCGAGGCUUAACCUCGAGCCUGCAUUCGAUACUGGGCGGCUAGAGUCUGGUAGGGGGAUCUGGAAUUCCUGGUGUAGCGGUGGAAUGCGCAGAUAUCAGGAGGAACACCGGUGGCGAAGGCGGGAUCCUGGGCCAGUACUGACGCUGAGGAGCGAAAGCGUGGGGAGCAAACAGG